GAUGAACGCUGGCGGCGUGCCUAAUACAUGCAAGUCGAGCGAACAGACGAGGAGCUUGCUCCUCUGACGUUAGCGGCGGACGGGUGAGUAACACGUGGAUAACCUACCUAUCAGACUGGGAUAACUUCGGGAAACCGGAGCUAAUACCGGAUAAUAUAUUGAACCGCAUGGUUCAAUAGUGAAAGACGGUGUUGCUGUCACUUAUAGAUGGAUCCGCGCCGCAUUAGCUAGUUGGUAAGGUAACGGCUUACCAAGGCAACGAUGCGUAGCCGACCUGAGAGGGUGAUCGGCCACACUGGAACUGAGACACGGUCCAGACUCCUACGGGAGGCAGCAGUAGGGAAUCUUCCGCAAUGGGCGAAAGCAUGACGGAGCAACGCCGCGUGAGUGAUGAAGGUGUUCGGAUCGUAAAACUCUGUUAUUAGGGAAGAACAAAUGUGUAAGUAACUAUGCACGUCUUGACGGUACCUAAUCAGAAAGCCACGGCUAACUACGUG
rnacentral:rRNA from 1 species